GUAAGGCCUAGGAGCGGGUGGGUAGUGUGUCUCUGGUGACCUGUGCAUUGUUUGGGGUGCCAGCUUCAUGUCCAUCUUCAUGGUUCAGGCAGUGUGAUGGUUAAUUUCAUGUGUUAACUUCACUGGGCUAAGGGGUGCCCAGAUAGCUGCUGAAACAUUACUUCUGGGUGUGUCUGUGAGGGUGUUUCUGGCAAAGAUUAGCAUUUGAAUCGGUAGGCUGAGUAAGGAAGACUGCCCUCACCAAUGUAAAUGAGCAUCACCUAAUUCACUGAAGGCCUAAAUAGGACGAAAACUUAGAGGAAGGGCUAAUUUGCUCUCUCUGCUUAAGCUGUGACAUGCAUCUCCUCCUGAGCUCAGACACCAGUGCUUCUGGUUCUCGAGCCUUUGGGCUCAGACUGCGAUUUACAACAUUGGCUCCCCCGAUUCUCAAGUUUUUGGGUUUGGACUGAAACUAUUCCACUGGUUUCUUCUUGGGCCUUCAGCCUGCAGAGAGCAGAUCAUGGGACUUCUCAGCCCUCAUAAUCUCAUGAGACAAUGCCUCAUAAUAAAUCUCUUUCUCUAUAUCUAAAUAUAUCCUAUUGGUUCUGUUUCUCUGGAGAAUCCUAACUAUAGGCAAAUACAAGUCAACACUGAUUUCUUAUGUCUUGGUUGCCAGUUACACCGAAUUGGCUUGGCAAUCAUUUGAGCUUCCCUUCACCAUGGGCAAGGUUGCAGGAGCCUCACCAAGCAGCUUGCUUCCAUCCUCUGGUGUCUCAAGGAAUGUCUCCAGUUUCUUAUUUCCUUUGCAUUUCUAAAUCUACUUCAUUUGUUCAUGAAGGAUGCACUGAAU
rnacentral:lncRNA from 1 species